UAGGGAAUAUUGGACAAUGGGCGAAAGCCUGAUCCAGCAACGCCGCGUGUGCGAUGACGGCCUUCGGGUUGUAAAGCACUUUUAGAGGAGAUGAGAAAGGACAGUAUCCUCUGAAUAAGCCUCGGCGAACUACGUGCCAGCAGCCGCGGUAAAACGUAGGAGGCUAGCGUUAUCCGGAUUUAUUGGGCGUAAAGCGCGUGCAGGCGGUUUAUCAAGUUGGAUGUGAAAGCUCCUGGCAUAACUGGGAGAGGUCGUUCAA
rnacentral:rRNA from 1 species